rnacentral:rRNA from 1 species
UACGUAGGGGGGCAAGCGUUGUCCGGAAUCAUUGGGCGUAAAGAGCGUGUAGCGGCCCGGCAAGUCCGCCGUGAAAGUCCAGGGCUCAACCCUGGAAUGCCGGUGGAAACUGUCGGGCUUGAGUUCGGAAGAGGCGAGUGGAAUUCCUGGUGUAGCGGUGAAAUGCGCAGAUAUCAGGAGGAACACCGGUGGCGAAGGCGGGUCUCUGGGCAACAACUGACGCUGAGGAGCGAAAGCGUGGGGAGCGAACAGGG